rnacentral:rRNA from 1 species
UUGUAGGUAAUACAAGGCACGACGGCUCAGUAACGCGUAGUCAACCUACCCUAUGGACGGGGAUAACCUCGGGAAACUGAGAAUAAUACCCGAUAGAACAUUAUACCUGGAAUGGUUUAUGUUUCAAAUAAUUUAUUGCCGUAGGAUGGGACUGCGGCCUAUCAGUUUGUUGGUGAGGUAAUGGCCCACCAAGACUAUUACAGGUACGGGCUCUGAGAGGAGUAGCCCGGAGAUGGGUACUGAGACACGGACCCAGGCCCUAUGGGGCGCAGCAGGCGAGAAAACUUUGCAAUGUGCGAAAGCACGACAAGGUUAAUCCGAGUGGUUUCUGCUAAAGGAACCUUUUGUCAGUCCUAGAAACACUGAUGAAUAAGGGGUGGGCAAGUUCUGGUGUCAGCCGCCGCGGUAAAACCAGCACCUCAAGUGGUCAGGAUGAUUAUUGGGCCUAAAGCAUCCGUAGCCUGCUUUGUCAGUUUUCGGUUAAAUCCAUACGCUUAACGUAUGGGCUGCCGGGAAUACUGCAAAGCUAUGGAGUGGGAGAGGUANACGGUACUCGGUAGGAAGGGGUAAAAUCCUUUGAUCUAUUGAUGACCACCUGUGGCGAAGGCGGUCUACCAGAACACGU